rnacentral:rRNA from 1 species
UACGUAGGGUGCAAGCGUUAAUCGGAAUUACUGGGCGUAAAGCGUGCGCAGGCGGCUAUGCAAGACAGAUGUGAAAUCCCCGGGCUCAACCUGGGAACUGCAUUUGUGACUGCAUGGCUAGAGUACGGUAGAGGGGGGAUGGAAUUCCGCGUGUAGCAGUGAAAUGCGUAGAUAUGCGGAGGAACACCGAUGGCGAAGGCAAUCCCCUGGACCUGUACUGACGCUCAUGCACGAAAGCGUGGG